AGCGAACGCUGGCGGCAGGCCUAACACAUGCAAGUCGAGCGCCCAGCAAUGGGAGCGGCAGACGGGUGAGUAACGCGUGGGGAUCUGCCCGAUGGUACGGAAUAAUUCCGGGAAACUGGGACUAAUACCGUAUGUGCCCGUAAGGGGAAAGAUUUAUCGCCAUCGGAUGAACCCGCGUCGGAUUAGCUAGUUGGUGUGGUAAAGGCGCACCAAGGCGACGAUCCGUAGCUGGUCUGAGAGGAUGAUCAGCCACACUGGGACUGAGACACGGCCCAGACUCCUACGGGAGGCAGCAGUGGGGAAUAUUGGACAAUGGGCGCAAGCCUGAUCCAGCCAUGCCGCGUGAGUGAUGAAGGCCUUAGGGUUGUAAAGCUCUUUCGCCGGUGAAGAUAAUGACGGUAACCGGAGAAGAAGCCCCGGCUAACUUCGUGCCAGCAGCCGCCGCAGUAA
rnacentral:rRNA from 1 species